UUAGAGCAGGCUAGACUCCAGCCUUUUUACUUAUCUUCAUGGUACCCGUGGCGACGGAGCGGUGGUGUAUUCAGUGAAGCGUGUCGUGGAACUUAAGGGACGUCCGGGCUUUGAGCUAUGUUGUGCUCGGCUCAGGACGACCCGCCGUGGUCUCGAUGGCGCUGUCGUCACAGCUCCUGCAUCCUGCUGCCGCGUCGAACGUGAACUCCGGUGCCCCCUUGCUUGUCCGCAAGCGGCGCUUUCGGGUCCCGCGAAGAAUAUUUCUCGUUCUUCGCUAACUAAACAAGCGGCUGGGAGUCUGCC
rnacentral:rRNA from 1 species